GAUGAAGAACGCAGCGAACUGCGAUAAGUAAUGUGAAUUGCAGAAUUCAGUGAAUCAUCGAAUCUUUGAACGCACAUUGCGCCCGCCAGUAUUCUGGCGGGCAUGCCUGUUCGAGCGUCAUUUCAACCAUCAAGCCCCCGGCUUGUGUUGGGGACCUGCGGCUGCCGCAGGCCCUGAAAAGCAGUGGCGGGCUCGCUGUCACACCGAGCGUAGUAGCAUACAUCUCGCUCUGGGCGUGCUGCGGGUUCCGGCCGUUAAACCACCUUCAUAACCCAAGGUUGACCUCGGAUCAGGUAGGAAGACCCGCUGAACUUAAGCAUAUCAAUAAGCGGAGGA
rnacentral:misc_RNA from 1 species